CUGCUUUUUGUGUCAUAAGCCAGAUUGGGCAAUGUUACCAGCCUGUAGAAGACCUUUCUGUAGACUUGUAGACCAAAGAGCUAUAAAAAUAAAAAAGUAUUUUAUAGUUCUUUGUGUAGACACAUGAACCUGUGGUGUCCAACACAGCUCAGUAUAGUUUGGACAUGACCUCUGAACCUGGACCUUGAGCACAGUCCAUUUCAAUAGCCUAUAGAUGGUAAAUGGGCAAAGUCUUGUGGUUAUCACGAAACUCGUGUUUCACAAGUUAUAGGUUAUAUCAACUUUGUUCCCAUUGAAUGCUAAAAGGCUCUAUAGUGCAAUAGUUAAGAAAUUAUGGAUGACUUCGAAUCACAACAGGAGUGGUUUGAUAUAUUUUUAUUAUUAUUUGUUUCACUUUAUUAGACUUAAAAAUUAUUAUGCAAGCUCAGGAGUUACUUAAUAAUGAUUGUCUUUGGUUUUCCUUUACUUAAGUUGGUUUAAAUGUAGUUUGUUGCAGCCCUACUCAUCGUCACAUCUGUUGUUUGUUUGUCUGUCUGUCUGUCUGUGUGUUCGUGCCCAUUCAGCACGAUAACAACAAAAUAAAGGCGGCUGUCAAUCUUUCCUGGAUAAACCAGUGCCCACAUUUGGUCAAACAAACUGAAGGCUAACCAGCUUCUUUAAUCAACAGUGGCAGACAAGUUACCGUGGAAAAAAAGUUUCGGAAUUAUAUUUCACAGAAUGUUGUGGCUGGGUUGUGGAUCGAACUAGUGACCCCCUUAUUGUAAGCUAGGUGCACAAGGACCAGACCAUGCAGCCUGGCACCUCAUUGUUGCUUUGCUUGUCUAUGUAAAAUUAGCCUUAUCGACAGUUCUGUUGAAGGGUGUUAAUAUGCCAGGAACAUGUAACCUAUGUAUCUGAUUGUGCUAAGUAGCUUUUCUCUAUAUAGUUCAGAUGAGAUUAUAUGACAAAUUUUAUCAAAUCAUAAAUGUACUAAAAUAUAGAGAAUGAACUUGCAACAUAUAUAUCCAAUAAAUAAGGCAAAAAAGUCAUUUCAUACAUAUAGCACGCAGUGUAAUUCAGAGAGAAAAAAGCAUGAAGAAAUGAAAGGCCAUGCCAGGAUCAAACUCUGAGCUUUAGGGUGACAGACCAUAUCCUAAACCCCUGACAUAUUCCCAUUGUUAAGUCAACAGUGAAAAAUGGAAGUGUGCAUAGUCCUUGCAAAUCAUUAUUUCAACCAUUUUCAGCUGAAAACCAUUCAUAUAUGAUAAUCUACAGGGCCGAAUUCUUAAGUUAACUGAUCAUGACCUGGUGAAUGUAAAAUGUACUGUAUGGUAGUCUAAUGUUGUGUUUCUAUGGAUAUCCUAUGAAUUUAGAGAAAUAAUCGUUCCAAAAAAAUGUCAGAAAGUACCUUAUCUCACAGAUGUUUAUCACAUUGGUUACUAUCUCUCUCUGAGAUUGUCACAGCACUGACAUAGGAUAAUUUCAAGAUCAGGGUAGACAAGUAUAUGGCGAUAAAGUAUUCACAGUACUUCCAGAAAGGACAUGGGUUUGUGAAAAUAUGCUGUGGCUUUCAGAUGCAGCGACCAUCUUCAGCCCUGGAAGGAUAGUGUAAAUGAAAUGUAAAUAUUUUUUUUUAAUAUAUUUGCAUCAGUAUGUCUGACAAACUUAAAGAAUUUGUUUUGAAGAGAGGAAUUGGGCCGGCUGUACUACAAAGUCUUGUCGCUGAUAAGAUUGACAGCAGUGUCAUGCUGUUAAUGGAUGACAGUACAUGAAAUCAUUCUUACCUGCGUAUGGUGAUAGAGUGUCGGCAAUUGCUUCCUGCAGGUCUCAAACUGAAGGUGAUCAGUGCUCAAAUGCAUUGAAUGAAUUACGUGGGAAAUGGAAAAAAGAGCGAUCUACUCUCCACAGCUGUGGUUUCAAGGCUGGAAAUGCUUAUGCGGAAAGGACCAUAAGAAGAUUGGAGCUAGGAUGGAUGGAUUACAGCAACCAAUCCAUGUGUUAUAAGCAAGUGAGGCAACGAUGUGGAGGUGGUGUCCGCCAUCUCACGGUUGAGAAAACACUUUCUUUAAAGGCAGUCCUUAACCAUGCUUUAGAUGCAUUCUUUCCAUCCCGCAUUUCCCAAUGAGGUAUUCUACAAGAGUUCGAAACAGAACUGAAAGACUUCCAAGGCAUGUGUGUCAAUAUGGAAAAUACAAUCAACGAACUCUAUAUUGAGUCAAAAUUAAAGAUACUUCGGGUAUAUUUAUAUACCAAAAAGAAGACUGAAAAGGUAGGAGAAGAGGUGCACGCUGCAACCAACAAGCCAUCCAGUACAAUCGAAGAGGUCGCACCAGAGGUUCAGAUCGUGACCACGGUGCCGAUUGCUGUUCUUGACGCAACUCUUCUCUCAUCCAGUGAGUGCAUGUCUUCGUCAGAUGAGCUUGACCAGCACACUGUAGUGUCAUUGCCAGACACCUCCCUCGUCUGGUAUACAGUGCGAGUCACACAGAUCAGAGACACUCCAAGCGUUUCGACAGAUUCUUGCUUUGGAUUGAUGUUUAUCUUCCUUUUCCAUGCUUGUGUAGCAUUAAAACUAAACAGUAACUUUCUGUGUCAUCUUAGCCUUCUAGGCCACCACCAAUGCAAUGUUUGAUAACUCUUCCUGGAUUAGCACAGUAUGUUCACCCAUUAACAAUGCUGUGUAACUGAGACGUUGAUGGAUUAUUCAUGAGGACAAGAGUAAUUUUAGAGAGGAAUUUCUACGUAUAAUUUCUACGAAGACAUAAAGGUCGAAACUAGUAAAGAAUGUGUUGUCUUGUAUUUAAAUGUCUUUCAGGAGAACUGCUCAGAUGACAUUGAAUUAGGAACACCUACUGUGGUGACAAAUAGGCAGACAUACAUGGAGGCUUGUGGUGCAGCUGAUACGGCAGACAUAGAGUUUAUAGACAUAUCAGCUCCUCGUCAGAGAAGACAGUUUAGUUUGCGUAGAGUGUCUCCUUCAGCCACAGUAAUAUACAGUGAAACAGCUGAUAUGUCGGGUAGUAUUAACAACCACUCUAUAGAACCUGAUGCUGACAUGGUAGAAGAUCAGUCUUCCAACCAGACAAAUGAUGCUAUGUCAGCGGAAGAGUAUUUCGGACAAGCUGGCCAUUGAAGAAAGUUUGUUAAGUAUUUGUAAUAGGUAAGAAACAAUUUGAUGCAAACUAAAUGAAGUUAAAAGUAAUUAG